AGUGCGGUACAAACCACUAAAAAUUUUCGGUACCAUGUUUUCUUCUUUUUGCUUGGGCAGAAGUUCUCCGAGGGGGCUAGUGAUUACCAUUUUUUUCGUCAUUUUUAUACAUUGACUUACCCCUAUCCGAUUUUUUUUGACAGUUUCAUCUCCACCACUUUCGUCACAACAAAAAUUGUUUUGUUUACGUUUCUUUUUUCGUUGGACUAUUUCAACGUAUUUAGAUGGUUCACGGUGCGGUGAGUUAAUAUUUUUUGAUUAAUUCCAAGUAUUCCUAUCCAAAUCCAUCGAAAAAAUUUUAUAGUUAAUGCGACGAGUGUCCAAUGCGAAUCACGACGUCGUCGGAAGAGCAGCAGUACGAGUAAAAGCAGUGUUUCCUGCUGGGGCAAUUUAUUUUCUUCAGUCGGAGGUGCGGGUAGCGCAGCAGCAAGAAUGACACCAGUAGCGGGACAAGCUAGUUGCGUGCGGAUGCAAUGAUCUGUGCAAAGUCUGGAAAUAUGUGGACAUUGUGCGAGUUAAUCACGGGAGGACGGUUCAUGUGCAGGAGUAUGCCAAGAGGGCUUGCUGCGUGAGAAUAUGCUGUACCUCAGUGGGUAUGUUAUGCUCAGAAGACGUGUGAAAUUGGGCCUUGAAAAUUCAAAUCCGAUGUGAUGAAGUUUCGCCAAGAUAUCAGCUUAUCGCCGAAUUAUCCCUGUUAUCCACUUAAUCUAUUUAAAAAAAACAUGCCAAACAACUUCGUCUACAUGAUGGUCUGCGCGGUGCCCAUCGUCGGUUACACACGCACUGUAUUCGAAGAUACACCGGUCGCGCAACCCUUUUUACUCGGAGUUAUUGUAAGCGAUUUCGUGACCGUAUCGGCCAUACAGUAUUCCCGGCAGAGCGUAUUUACCCGGUACAACGUCAUCCAGAACGGGGAAGGAGAUUUCAUUUUGGAGGCCGGGUACAAGAUUUUCAAUGUGGAAUCCUACCUGGAGACGGAUUUUGCCCUACCAAAGAUCUACCAGGUUGCCGUAUCUGAUUUUGCCGCCGGAGCGAUGUCGAAAUACGAAUUGAUAGGUUUCAAGAAAUAUUGUGUUCAUGGGGCUGAGCUUAUUGGAUGAUCUCUUUCAGGUGACCUACAAGAAGUUCUACGAAAGUCGCUUAUCUCUGAUGAUGUAGAAGCACGAAAUUGCCACCGUGGUAGGGCACGAUUAUGAUCGUCAGUUUUUCUGCAAUAUGGCCCCAGCUUUGUGGAGCUACCUCUGGAUGAUGGAAAGCUCCGCUCGAUACUUUGAAUAUCUGACCUCGGACAUGAUCUAUACCCACUCGGAAACCGUAUGCCAUUAUGAAAAUGCAGAACGCUUUCAAUAUGGAUUCAGUGGGGUCGUCUCGGCGUUAUAUGUGAAUACGCUUCGCAGUCUGAGAUCGCAUAUGUCUUAGACAACAUUAAGUAAAAAGAAAAUCUGGUUAAGUACUGUUCUUUUUAAUUCCACUAAGAAUUUGCAUCCUUUGACAGAUACGUAUUUCGAACUUAACUGUAAGGUCAUCUUUAGUAUCAUCUUUAGUAUUUCGACAGUCGAAUCAAGUACGAGACAUUGAAGACGACCUUACAGUUGAGGUCGAAAUACGUAUCUGUAGGAUGCAAAUGCUUAGUGGAAUUAAAAGCAACAAUACUUAACCAGGUUUUCUUUCUACUCACACCACUCUUUCCACUAUCACGCCCAGGUUCAUCAUCAUCUUCGACAACAUUGCUUAUGAUAAAGGUGGUUCCAUGAUGCAUAUGUUCCAACACGCCUUUGGCCCGGAAACGUUCCGUCGAGCGUUGAUCAUUUACCUUCGUGCUAAAGCAUACAGAGGUGCUCAUUCGGAAGACUUUGCUAAGCCAUCAUGGCAUUGGAUGUUCUCAAGUCGCGGACCGAGAGAAAGAUUCAUGGACCAUUCUCUACAACUUCGUCACAACUAGGAAACCUAGCUUCAACACAACCGCUGACACCAGAUGACUGCUCACCAACAGCACAAUUCUGGCAGCCGAACGAUGGUCUGCUACGGAUUGGAUCAUUUUAAAUAAGAUGCAAACUGGCUAUUACCGAGUCAAUUACGACGAUCGAUUUUGUUUCAGCAUUUCAAGUGACACGUAGAGAUAGUAGGAGAACUUGAACCACCCAAAACGAGGAAAGUGCUCGGUCUGACUCAUUGGAAAAACUGCUCGCAAGCACAAGAAGCUAGACCAACACGAAGCACUCGGCCUUGAACUAAAUUUUAGGAAAAUAUUUCUGUUUCCCUACCGGAACGUCUCCGGUCGAUGUAAUUGCUGGGAGAUGAAUCUUAUGACUUCUUAAGAGGAGAAACAUUCAGAGCGACGGAUCCAGACGAAGAAGCAAUGUGGCAGUUUGGCGGAUAUCUGUGACAACUGGUCGGAGCCAUUCCUGACAACUAUGGAUCAUAUUUAUCAAUCAAUCCGAGAUCAAGUCACCUGCUAGUCAAACGACAUUUCUUGAAGGUACUACAUAUUUCUCCACAACACGAAUCUCACUACCGUCACAUCCAGAAUACGCUAUAAUUUCAAAUGUUGUUACAAUAAUUAUAUAUCUUUUACUAGUUUUAGAAUAUUUAAUAAAUACAAUGGGGCGCUGGGGUCGCAGGGUGGUUUCACUUACAUAUUCGAAAAAAAAAAACAAGCCAAAUGUCGUCCCAAAUUACAUAAUGAUGCGAGGAAUGCAAGUUCACUUCUGGAGUUGUUUUAAAAGUCCAAGACAAUUUGUUCUAAUUGAGUUCACCACGUCCUCCUGAAUUGCAAGGUGAUGCAAAGCACACUUCUGGAGUUGUUUAACCCUCUACUUCCCAUGGUUGCUCUAGAGCACUAUCGUUUUUCGACGAACUCUUCACUUUAAGAGUUUUUCUAGAAGCCCUUUAAGAUUAGCUCAAACUAGGUUCACCAAGUCCACCUGAAUUGCAUGGUGAUGCAAUAAAUUAACUUUUGAAACUGUCCACUUUACGAGUUUCUCUUGAAGCCCAUUAAGAUUAGCUCAAACUAGUUUCACCAAGUCCACCUGAAUUGCAUGGUGAUGCAAUAAAUUAACUUUUGAAACUGUUCACUUUAAGAGUCUUUCUAGAAGCCUAUUAAGAUUAGCUCAAACUAGGUUCACCAAGUCCACCUGAAUUGCAUGGUGAUGCAAUAAAUUAACUUUUGAAACUGUUCACUUUAAGAGUCUUUCUAGAAGCCCAUUAAGAUUAGCUCAAACUAGGUUCACC